GACGUAGGGCGCGAGCGUUGUCCGGAUUUAUUGGGCGUAAAGAGCGUGUAGGCGGUUUGGUAGGUCCGCUGUGAAAACUCGAGGCUCAACCUCGAGACGCCGGUGGAAACCAUCAGGCUAGAGUCCGGAAGAGGAGAGUGGAAUUCCUGGUGUAGCGGUGAAAUGCGCAGAUAUCAGGAAGAACACCCGUGGCUAAGGCGGCUCUCUAGUACGGUACUGACGCUGAGACGCGAAAGCGUGGGGAGCGAACAGG
rnacentral:rRNA from 1 species